GAUGAACGCUGGCGGCGUGCCUAAUACAUGCAAGUCGAGCGAACAGACGAGGUGCUUGCUCCUCUGACGUUAGCGGCGGACGGGUGAGUAACACGUGGAUAACCUACCUAUAAGACUGGGAUAACUUCGGGAAACCGGAGCUAAUACCGGAUAAUAUAUUGAACCGCAUGGUUCAAUAGUGAAAGACGGUUUUGCUGUCACUUAUAGAUGUAUCCGCGCCGCAUUAGCUAGUUGGUAAGGUAACGGCUUACCAAGGCGACGAUGCGUAGCCGACCUGAGAGGGUGAUCGGCCACACGGGAACUGAGACACGGUCCAGACUCCUACGGGAGGCAGCAGUAGGGAAUCUUCCGCAAGGGGCGAAAGCCUGACGGAGCAACGCCGCGUGAGUGAUGAAGGUCUUCGGAUCGUAAAACUCUGUUAUUAGGGAAGAAGAAAUGUGUAAGUAACUAUGCACGUCUUGACGGUACCUAAUCAGAAAGCCACGGCUAACUACGUG
rnacentral:rRNA from 1 species